AACACUUUAUAAAUGUAGCCGUCUUUCCCGCUGUUAAAUUAUAUGCUACAUUCAUAUUAAUGCUGCGGCAAAUUCAAACGCACGCUCUUUCUCUCUCUCUGUCUGUCUCUGGUUUUCUAGCUCUGUCUAGUAGGUGACCUGUUGUCAGUGCGUCGAGAGAGACCAUAUAAAUUUUAUAAUGAAGCAGCAGAGCGGGAAUCAAGACUUCGUCGGGACAGCAUUCUCGCACGGAGAAGUGCAAUUACACAACAGAGGCGCUUGUUGGUUUUCAGUUAUGGUAAAUAAUGUUGAUCACUCACAGAAUCAGACACUACCGCUUUUUAUACCACACUUCCCGUUAGGAAUUAUGAUAUUGUUUGGUUCGUUGGUCCGUUAACUGGGUCGGAUUGCUUUCACAUCUCAAGCGAACCGCUCCAGAGUUCGUUUGAAAGCUUACCGAGACCACCCUUUGGUGCACACCUGAGUGUGAAAGCACCCUAAGUUUAGCUUCAAAGGGCAUCUUCAACAACAGUAUUCUAUAAAAAUUAAGACUAUAUUUUUUGCAUUCCGAUUCUGACAUACAAAGGCACAACAAAACAUUUUCCUUCUUCUUCUUGUUACCGCUAUAUUUCUGCCAUCACUAUGCAUUCGCAGCUGCAAGUGACGUAACUGUGACGUCUGCUCCAAAUUGGACUAUAGGGCUGUGAAGAACAAGCUUUGGGCUUGUUGAUGGAGUCGAUCAACUCCAUCUGUGUUUUGAUCAUUGUUCUGAAUCUCAUCCGGAUGUUGAACAAAAAUGCCAAUUUUCUCAGCUUUUUGUUUAAAAUGUUGCCUUUUUUUUAUACGAAACUUACCCACUCAUUUCUUUCACAGAAAUCUGCAGUGAGCAUUUAAUCAAUAGAUACACGCCGUUAUGUGUAUUACAUUUUUGUCUAUCACAGUGUAGACUUUACAAUAAAUUUUAUUGUUUUUAUCCUGAGCUAAUGAUAUUUAUAAGCCGCCUUAAAAGAUACCAUCUUUUGUUCAAACUCUAAGGCAGUAUCACGUGUCUUUCACUGUGAAUACAAUCCCAUAAUGCAGCGCAAAAUCCUCAGUGAAACAAUCCAUAUAAUUCUGAAAAUUAUAAAACAAAAUAGUUUCAUUUAAAAAUAGUUUAAAUAAAAGUACUCACAUUUAUUUAUUUAUUGUUUUCACCCUUAAUAAUAUUAUAUCAUCAUGAAGGGAUUCAUUAACUCUUUCAGCUCGUUUUCCUCCCUCAUAAUCACAAUCUCAAAUAAACACACAAAUGACACACAUUCUAUCAAUAGAUGUCCAGCUGUGGCGUCCUUCACAAGUUUGCCUAAUAUUGUCCAAAACUUCUUUUGAUUUUGGACAAAGGGGUCUAUAAUUCCCAAUGCAUUUUCUCCUCUAACAUUUAGUGUUUUUCAAGAAUAAUUUCUCUUUCCUCCCCUUAAAACAUUUUUUCAAAACAACAAAAAAGAACAGCAGAGAAAA